AUGUUGGUAAAGCAUUUACCUAAGUUAUGGAAAAUUCAUAAUUCAUCAGUUAUUUUAGAUAAUACUAAAAAACAAGAUAGAGUAAGAUACAGAAGUGUAAAAGAAAGUGGAUUCAUCAUGUCAUAUAAAGCAUUGUUCACCAUAUAUUAG
rnacentral:rRNA from 1 species